rnacentral:lncRNA from 1 species
CCCACCAGAAGGAAGAAACUCUGAACACAUCCGAACAUCAGAAAGAACAAACUCUGGACACACCGCCUUUAGGAACUGUAACACUGACUGAGAGAGUCCCAGACUUCAUUCUUGAAUUACAGGGCUUUGACUCUUGGGUCUGAAGAAGGCACCAGCCCCUGCUAAAUUCUGAGCAUUGACACCAGUGGAAGCCUCAUCCUCAGACUUGGAAGAAGGACUUUGUUUUGUCCAGAUGUGAUGUCUGGAAUCAUUCGAUGUAUCUCACUAUCAGUCCAAAGAUGAAACUGACCCUGAUGACUACACAGCAGAGAGAUUUUUUUAAAUCAGGGUUUUGACACCAACA